GUUAAGGGUCCUGUAGGCACCUUCCACGUUCCCCUCCUGAACCAUCACAGUCCUGGCAAUGAACUUCAGAUGUUUAGCCAUGACCUUGUAUUUAAAUCUUCAUUCUUCAGGACCUAUAGACUGGGGCCUCCGAAUUCGGACUCGGAUACUGUAGCAACAACACUGGUUUUGCUAUGGACUCACUCCAGAAAACAUGCUGUAGCUACUCCUGGGCGACAUGAAACCCCGUGGCUGACUCUGAUGACCAUGACAGAUGGGUCUCUUUGAACUUUGGCUGAUUUGGUUAGAAGCAUGAAUUCAUGGGGAUUAUACCACAACUCUUCCUACACAGUAAAAUAUGCCCAGGGCCCCUUGAUCUAAGCUGACCACACUACUGUGCAUCAUGAUGGUAAAUGUUGCCUGGGAACCACCAGGGUUUCUUCCUGAAGCGGAGGGAGGCUACUCAGGACAUUUGUCCACAGUGCUGCCAGUCAUCCUACCCCAUAAGGAUGAAGAACAGGAAAUACAGCGAUGGAGCCAACCACGCUCUCCAUUUCAUGUGCACUUUUAUGGCUUUGAAGAAAAACUACCCUAGAUGUUCACAAAUGUCAGGAUCAAUGUUGCUGUCCCCGUUGAUCUUAAACACACUGGGAUUGUUCACAG
ensembl:lncRNA